GGGUCUAUAGCUCAGUUGGUUAGAGCGCACGCCUGAUAAGCGUGAGGUCGGUGGUUCGAGUCCACUUAGACCCA
rfam:Lactobacillus mucosae LM1, complete genome.